GGUCUCCCUUUUAUAGGCGGAGGAGGCAAAGGAUUGAUGGCGACGUUUGUAACCGCCUGGUAGUGGGCCGCCCAUGGUCAGGGGAAUUGAUUGCGAAAGAUAGUGGGGUAGACUCGUGGCUAUCGCCAUAGCCUGCCACGUAGGGCCUGUUGCAGGUAGUGGGGCGGCGUCCGUUGUCGCUAGUUGUCAGCGAGUAGUG
rnacentral:lncRNA from 1 species